CCUACGGGAGGCAGCAGUAGGGAAUCUUCCACAAUGGGCGCAAGCCUGAUGGAGCAACACCGCGUGGGUGAAGAAGGUUUUCGGAUCGUAAAGCCCUGUUGUUAGAGAAGAAAGUGCGUGAGAGUAACUGUUCACGCAGUGACGGUAUCCAACCAGAAAGUCACGGCUAACUACGUGCCAGCAGCCGCGGUAAUACGUAGGUGGCAAGCGUUAUCCGGAUUUAUUGGGCGUAAAGCGAACGCAGGCGGUCGUUUAGGUCUGAUGUGAAAGCCUUCGGCUUAACCGAAGAAGUGCAUUGGAAACUGGGCGACUUGAGUGCAGAAGAGGAAAGUGGAACUCCAUGUGUAGCGGUGAAAUGCGUAGAUAUAUGGAAGAACACCAGUGGCGAAGGCGGCUGUCUGGUCUGUAACUGACGCUGAGGCUCGAAAGCGUGGGUAGCGAACAGGAUUAGAUACCCGUGUAGUC
rnacentral:rRNA from 1 species